rnacentral:rRNA from 1 species
CAGCAGCCGCGGUAAUACGAAGGGUGCAAGCGUUAAUCGGAAUCACUGGGCGUAAAGCGUGCGUAGGUGGUGGUUUAAGUCCGUUGUGAAAGCCCUGGGCUCAACCUGGGAAUUGCAGUGGAUACUGGGUCACUAGAGUGUGGUAGAGGAUAGUGGAAUUUCCGGUGUAGCAGUGAAAUGCGUAGAGAUCGGAAGGAACAUCUGUGGCGAAGGCGACUAUCUGGGCCAACACUGACACUGAGGCACGAAAGCGAGGGGAGCAAACAGGAUUAGAUACCCCGGUAGUCCCUGUCUCUUAUAC